AGGUACAAGCAUUUUGGAAAGAAGCUAUGAGAUUGCUGUAUGGCUGUCAUCCAAACUGAACACCUGAUGCAAGGAGGCCUCGUAACUCUCUGAUAGUUCUUUGUUUGGCAUGAGUGAACUAGAACUCAAUGACUAACAAGGUGCCCACAGUAAGGGUCUGUGCUCUGAUGAGACGGGCUGCAAUCAAGCUUUUGAUGGGGUCUACAAUGUCCAGAUUGCUGCCAUUGCCACCAUGAUCUCUCAUCUUCCCAGACACAGCAACAUGGCCACCAUCAUGGACUGUGGACAAAGCAAAGGACUUUAUGUUUCUGGUGCAGAAGGUCCCACUGCAUGCCAGAUUUGUGACUUCUGCCAAAAGAAUUUGUGACUCCUGCCUUGAUCCUUUUAUCUCCCAGUGAGGAAGGCUACACAUAACCCUUGAAGUUGAUGCAUCAUGUUUUUGGCUUUCUGGACCAUUUGUAGUCUGAUAAUGGUAAACUUUUUUAUCACAAAGCUACCCG
rnacentral:lncRNA from 1 species